rnacentral:rRNA from 1 species
AACGAGCUUUGAUCCGUAGAUGUCCGAAUGGGGAAACCCGGCCCUUUUGGGUCAUCCCUAGACUGAAUACAUAGGUCUAGUGAAGCGAACGCGGUGAACUGAAACAUCUAAGUAACCGCAGGAAAAGAAAUCAACCGAGAUUCCCAAAGUAGUGGCGAGCGAAAUGGGAUGAGCCUUGCACUCUUUAUUUGUAUUGUUAGCCGAACGCUCUGGAAAGUGCGGCCAUAGCAGGUGAUAGCCCUGUAGGCGAAAACAGUAUGAAAGAACUAGGUGUGCGACAAGUAGGGCGGGACACGUGAAAUCCUGUCUGAAGAUGGGGGGACCAUCCUCCAAGGCUAAAUACUCGUGAUCGACCGAUAGUGAACCAGUACCGUGAGGGAAAGGCGAAAAGAACCCCGGGAGGGGAGUGAAAUAGAUCCUGAAACCGCAUGCAUACAAACAGUCGGAGCCUCGCAAGGGGUGACGGCGUACCUUUUGUAUAAUGGGUCAGCGACUUACGUUCAGUAGCAAGCUUAACCGUAUAGGGCAGGCGUAGCGAAAGCGAGUCCGAAUAGGGCGUUCAGUUGCUGGGCGUAGACCCGAAACCAGGUGAUCUAUCCAUGGCCAGGAUGAAGGUGCGGUAACACGUACUGGAGGUCCGAACCCACUAACGUUGAAAAGUUAGGGGAUGAGCUGUGGAUAGGGGUGAAAGGCUAAACAAACCUGGAAAUAGCUGGUUCUCUCCGAAAACUAUUUAGGUAGUGCCUCGUGUCUCACCUUCGGGGGUAGAGCACUGUCAUGGUUGGGGGGUCUAUUGCAGAUUACCCCGCCAUAGCAAACUCCGAAUACCGAAGAGUGCAAUCACGGGAGACAGACAUCGGGUGCUAACGUCCGGUGUCAAGAGGGAAACAACCCAGACCGCCAGCUAAGGUCCCCAAAUAUAGCUAAGUGGGAAACGAAGUGGGAAGGCUAAAACAGUCAGGAGGUUGGCUUAGAAGCAGCCACCCUUUAAAGAAAGCGUAAUAGCUCACUGAUCGAGUCGUCCUGCGCGGAAGAUGUAACGGGGCUAAGCUAUAUACCGAAGCUGCGGAUGCGAGCUUGCUCGCAUGGUAGGAGAGCGUUCCGUAAGCCUGCGAAGGUGCCUUGUAAAGGGUGCUGGAGGUAUCGGAAGUGCGAAUGCUGACAUGAGUAGCGAUAAAGGGGGUGAAAGGCCCCCUCGCCGUAAGCCCAAGGUUUCCUACGCAACGUUCAUCGGCGUAGGGUGAGUCGGCCCCUAAGGCGAGGCAGAAAUGCGUAGCUGAUGGGAAGCAGGUCAAUAUUCCUGCACCAUUGUUAGAUGCGAUGGGGGGACGGAUCGCGGAAGGUUGUCCGGGUGUUGGAAGUCCCGGUCGCUGCAUUGGAGAAGGCGCUUAGGCAAAUCCGGGCGCAGGAUUCAAGGGUGUGGCGCGAGCUCCUUAGGGAGCGAAGCAAUUGGAAGUGGUUCCAAGAAAAGCCUCUAAGCUUCAGUCUAACGAUGACCGUACCGCAAACCGACACAGGUGGGCGAGAUGAGUAUUCUAAGGCGCUUGAGAGAACUCGGGAGAAGGAACUCGGCAAAUUGGUACCGUAACUUCGGGAUAAGGUACGCCCUUGUAGCUUGACUGGCCUGCGCCAGGAGGGUGAAGGGGUUGCAAUAAACUGGUGGCUGCGACUGUUUAAUAAAAACACAGCACUCUGCAAACACGAAAGUGGACGUAUAGGGUGUGACGCCUGCCCGGUGCCGGAAGAUUAAAUGAUGGGGUGCAAGCUCUUGAUUGAAGUCCCGGUAAACGGCGGCCGUAACUAUAACGGUCCUAAGGUAGCGAAAUUCCUUGUCGGGUAAGUUCCGACCUGCACGAAUGGCGUAACGAUGGCCACACUGUCUCCUCCCGAGACUCAGCGAAGUUGAAGUGUUUGUGAUGAUGCAAUCUACCCGCGGCUAGACGGAAAGACCCCAUGAACCUUUACUGUAGCUUUGCAUUGGACUUUGAACCGAUCUGUGUAGGAUAGGUGGGAGGCUAUGAAACCGGAACGCUAGUUUCGGUGGAGCCGUCCUUGAAAUACCACCCUGGUUUGUUUGAGGUUCUAACCUUGGCCCGUGAUCCGGGUCGGGGACAGUGCAUGGUAGGCAGUUUGACUGGGGCGGUCUCCUCCCAAAGCGUAACGGAGGAGUACGAAGGUACGCUAGGUACGGUCGGAAAUCGUGCUGAUAGUGCAAUGGCAUAAGCGUGCUUAACUGCGAGACCGACAAGUCGAGCAGGUGCGAAAGCAGGUCAUAGUGAUCCGGUGGUUCUGUAUGGAAGGGCCAUCGCUCAACGGAUAAAAGGUACUCUGGGGAUAACAGGCUGAUACCGCCCAAGAGUUCAUAUCGACGGCGGUGUUUGGCACCUCGAUGUCGGCUCAUCUCAUCCUGGGGCUGUAGCCGGUCCCAAGGGUAUGGCUGUUCGCCAUUUAAAGAGGUACGUGAGCUGGGUUUAAAACGUCGUGAGACAGUUUGGUCCCUAUCUGCCGUGGGCGUUGGAUAUUUGAAGGGGGCUGCUCCUAGUACGAGAGGACCGGAGUGGACGAACCUCUGGUGUACCGGUUGUCACGCCAGUGGCAUCGCCGGGUAGCUAUGUUCGGAAGAGAUAACCGCUGAAAGCAUCUAAGCGGGAAACUCGCCUUAAGAUGAGAUAUCCCUGGGGACUAGAUCCCCUUGAAGGGUCGUUCGAGACCAGGACGUUGAUAGGUCAGGUGUGUAAGCGCAGUAAUGCGUUCAGCUAACUGAUACUAAUUGCCCGUAAGGCUUGAUCCU